rfam:Triticum aestivum genome assembly, contig: Triticum_aestivum_CS42_TGACv1_scaffold_049400_1BS
GAUAUACUCCCUUCGUUCCAAAUUACUUGUCGUAGGUAUGGAUGUAUCUAGAUGUAUUUUAGUUCUAGAUACAUCCAUCUCUGCGACAAAUAAUUUGGAACGGAGGGAGUAUGUA